rnacentral:lncRNA from 1 species
AGGGCAGGGGACCAGAGAUGAAUCAACUCCAGCCCGGGAGCUCACCGUCCAGCAGGGGAGAUAAGGCAGAUGGAAAAGUAACUAUAAAAUAAGGCAGACGGUGAUAAGAGUUAGAGGAGUGCAGGAUGUCUCUGCAGGAGCAAGUCGGUGGAAAGGGGACAAGCCUGGAGGACUUGCCUUGAAAUGACAUUUGCACCGCGCGCACUAUGUUCACCUGGAGUGGCCGUUUGGGAUUUCUUGCGGGGAGACAGUGCACACUGGGGCGGGGGACACUGAACUUUCCCUCUCCCCAAGGCCCCCCGAUCAGCCCUGCCAC